UCAAGAGGUGACUUGGGUACUGUUAAAGAUACUCAGUUUUAUAAGGGAAGCAGAGCAUAAAAGUUUGGAAAAUUUGCAGCCUAUUUGAUAGAAAAGAAAAACCCAUUUUCUGAGGAGAAAUUUAAGCUGGCUUCAGAAAUUUGUAUAAGCAGCAAGGAGCCAAAUGUGAAUGAAUUCCCAAGACCAUGGGGAAAAUGUCUCCAGGCCACGUCAGAGACCUUCAUGGAAGCCCCUCCUGUAACAGGCCCAGAGGCCCAGGAGAAAAAAGUAAUUUUGUGGGCCAGGCUCAGGGUCCCCAUGCUGUGUGCAGCCUGAGGACUAGAUGCCCUGUGUCCCAGCUGCUCCAGCACUGGCUGAAAAGGGCCAAUGUCCAGCUCAGGCUGGCUUCAGAGGGUGGAAGCUGCCAAGCCUUGGCAGCUUCCACAUGGUGUUGAUCCUGAGGGUGCACAGAAGUCAAGAAUUAAGGUUUGGGAAUUUCUGCCUAGAUUUCAGCAGAUGUAUGGAAAUGCCUAGAUUCCCAGGCAAAAGUUUGCUGCAGGGGCGGGGCGCUCAUAGAGAACCUCUUCUAGGGCAAUGUGAAAGGAAAUGUGGGGUUGGAUACCCCACGUAGAGUCCCUACUGCAGCACUGCCUAGUGGAGCUGUGAGAAGAGGACUACCGUCCUUCAGAUCCCAGAAUGGUAGAUUCCCCGAUAGCUUGCACUUUGCACCUGGAAAAGCUGCAGACACUCAAAGCCAGCCGUUAAAGCAGCCAGGAGGGAGACUGUACCCUGCAGAGCCACAGGGGCGGAGCUGCCCAAGACCGUGGGAACCCACCUCUUGCAUCAGCGUGACCUGAAUGUGAGACCUGGAGAAAAAGGAGAUAAUUUUGGAGCUUUAAAAUUUGACUGCCCCACUGGAUUUUGGACUUGCAUGGGCCCUGUAACCCCUUUUUUGGGGCCAAUUUCUCCCAUUUGAAAUGGCUGUUGUGUCUAGGAAGUAACUAGCUUGUUUUUGAUUUUACAGGCUCAUAGGUAGAAGGGACUUGCAUCGUCUCAGAGACUUUGGACUUCAGGCUUUUGGGUUAAUGCAGAAAUGAGUUAAGACUUAACGGUGAUUGUUGGGAAGGCAGUACCCCAGGGAGAGGUAAUUGAAUCAUGAGGGCCGGUCUUUCCUGUGCUGUUCUCCUGAUAGUGAAUAAGUCUCGCGAGAUCUGAUGGGUUUAUCAGGGGUUUCCGCUAUUGUUUCGUCCUCAUUUUCUCUUGCUGCUACCAUGGAAGAAGCGACUUUCGCCUCCCGCCGUGAUUCUGAGGCCUUUCCAGCCAUGUCAAACUCAAAAUGUGACUGAAAAACAGAAGCAUUUGGAAUACGUAACAGAAGUCAUUAAAAAGAGCCAUGUAAUAUGUGCCUGCUUCCCCUUCUGCCAUGAUUGUAAGUUUCCUGAUGCCUUCUCAGCCAUGCAGAACUAGAAAAAGAAGAAAAAGAAGAGGAAGGAGGAAGAGGAGGAAAAGGAAGAGGAAAAGGAGGAAAAGGAAGAGGAGAAGGAGGAAAAAAAAUAAAAUAAAUAAAAUACUACCUAUAGUAAAGGGCAUUUCUCAAACUUGGGUCUGACCCAGAUGGCCUUAAUCUUUCCCUUAGCUUGACUAAAUAUUACACGGACUUCUUGCUGCUUCUAGAUUUCUGGACUUCCUCUCACUCUUGCCUUUAUAGAAUCUAGAUGGUCUAAAUUCUAGAUUUUAGAGAAUUUAAAAUCAGAGAGGCCCCUCUUCUCUCUCUUUUUUUUUUUUUUUUUUUUUGACAGGCUUGCUCUGUCACCCAGGCUGGAGGCUGGAGUGCAGUGGCGCGAUCUUGGCCCACUGCAAGCUCUGCCUCCUGGUUUCACGCCAUUCUCCUGCCUCAGCCUCCCAAGUAGCUGGGACUACAGGUGCCCGCCACCACGCCUGGCUAGUUUUUUGUAUUUUUAGUGGAGUUGGGGUUUCACUGUGUUAGCCAGGAUGGUCUCUGUCUCCUGACCUGGUGAUCUGCCCACCUAGGCCUCCCAAAGUGGUGGGAUUACAGGCAAGACCCACCACGACCGGCCUCCCUUUUCUUAAAAUAUUUACUUUGGAAAUCUGAUGACUACAGAUUUUUUUCCUCUGGCCCUUUGAGAAAGGGUUUUCAAAUUAAGCAAUUGACUUUUAUAGUCCAUGAAUGUCUUAGCCAAGGACCUAGGAGACAUCUCUUUGAAAUAUAAUCAUCAAUGGAGAUAGUACCUCUGUCUUCCAGUUUCUGUGGGGAGAGUUGAAGCCUAACUUCAUAUCAAGUCUAGCUCCAAAUAGUAAAACUAUCCCCUAUCAUGAUGAUACAAGAAACUUUACCUUUCACUUGAGUAAGCCCAACUAGCAAACACAGAUGGCUUAAGGUUCUUCCAACCUCAGCUCUUAAAAACUCUCCAGGCCUUUGUUUCAACAGAGCUUAAUUCAGACUGAAUUUUGCUCCUCUCCUAUAUCACAGUAGCCUUACAUAGUCUUCCUUACCUAUGUGGCUUUCCAAUGAGAUUUUUACUUUAACAAUGCAUCUCUAUCAAGAUCACCAGGAUCCUUGUCCAAAAUCUCAAUUUCUUCUGGCCCUGAUACAGACCUACAUAAGUAAAAUUCCUGUGACUUGGCAUUCUGUAUUUUUUCAUUAAAUUAUAUGGAUAAUUACAGACUGAAAACAAUUAUUAUCAGACCCCCACCCUGAUAAGCAUAUCUUCAAAUUUCUGGUUCCUAAAAUUAAGUUCCUUUCUAUAUAAAUUUAUUUUCCAAUUAUUUGUUGCUUCAAUAUAUGGUUUAAUUAGUAUUGAAAACACAAAAACACAAAUUAACAAAAAAAAUAUAUUUGAGUGCUACUUAUCUUUUAAAGCCUGGCGUCCAUGGAGCUCAUUUGCAUGGGUUUCUGUAAAAAAGUACCACAAACUGGAUGGCUUAAACAACAGAAACUUAUAGAGGCCAGAGGUCCAAGAUAAAAGUGUCAACAGGAUUGGUUCCUUCUGAGGUCUAUGAAAGAGAACAUUAUUUAUGCCCCUCUCCUAGUGUCUAGUGGUCUGUUGGCAAUCUUUGCUAUUCCUUGACUUGUUUGUAUUAGGUUGGUGCAAAAGCAAUUGCAGUUUUUGCAAUUACUUUUAAUGGCAAAAACUGCAAUUACUUUUGCACCAAUCUAAUAGACAUAUCACCUAGAAUCUGCCUUCACAUUCAAAUGAUGUUCUACUUGUGUAUGUUUGUGUUUAAAUUUCCUCUUUUUUAUAGAGACACCAGUUCUAUUGGAUUAGUGGCCCACCCUACUUCCAUAUAACCUCAUCUUAACUAAUUACAUCUGCAACUACCCUAUUUCCAAAUAAGGUCACAUUCUGAGGCCCUGGAGUUAUGACUUUAACAUAUAAAGUCAUAUAUAUUUUUGCAGGAUCCAAUUCCAACCAUAAUAGAUGCACAUCUCUAAAGAAGUACAAAGACUUCAAUCCCAUCCUGUUCCUUCUUCUUACUGUGGAAACAUGUCCCAAUCUUCAUUAGGGAGUUUGAAAAUUGCUCAAAUCAACUUUGCUGGCUUUGGGUAUAACAACAGGUUUUAUGCAUAGAGGUGAGAAGAAAAUUAGUUUUAUUUCCACAUGCUUUGUUUCAUUACUACCACCUUAAGGUCCAAAGUAGACGGAUAAGUGAUGGAGAAGAUAACAGGCCCAUGGAAUGUUUCUUAUGAGAAAAACAUGGAUAAAAGAAAACUUACAUCAUAUUUCCCAGAGGGCUGAGUAGAGCAAGGAGUGUGGUGAGCUUGAGGCAUGCCAAAGAAUAAGAGAAAAUGCUCCGAAGAAAGAAUGGGAGAAAUGAGUUUUGAUUAGCAAAGACAUGGAAUCAGCCUAAAUGCCCAUCAAUGGUAUACCAGAUAAAGAAAAUGUAUAUAUACACCAUGGAAUACUAUGCAGCCAUAAAAAAGAAUGAGAUCAUGAUAUUUGCCACAAUAUGGAUGGAGCUGGUUAUAUGCAAACUAACGUAGGAACAGAAAAACAAAUACAACAUUUCUCAUUUAUAAGUGGGAGCUAAACAUUGAGUACAUAUGGAAACAAAGAAGGGAACAACAAACACCAGGGCCUACUUGAGGGUGCAGGGUGGGAGGAGGAUUGAAAAACUACCUAUGAGACACUAUGCUUAUUACCUGAGUAAUGAAACAAUCUACACCAAGCCCCCGAGACAUACAAUUUGCCUAUGUAACAAACCUGAACAUGUAACUCUGAACCUAAAAUACAAUUUGAAAUAAAAUAAAUACAAAGGAU
rnacentral:lncRNA from 1 species